UUAAAAAAAAAAAAAAAAUCAAUUUAUGUUUUCAAGUAUAACUAAAUGUGUAAUUUAAGUGUCUCCAUCAUGGCUCCUCUAAUUGACUUGGAAAAGGAAGCUGAAAUAUCAGCCUCAAUAAACACAGGCGCAUCCAGAAAUUUAGAGACCGCCCAAAAGAAAGGAUCAACAAUCAUCAACUUGAAAUGUGUGGAUGCUCAGGUGGAACUUCAGUUUUUAUUGAGUUGAGAGCGUUGUUGGAAGAUGUUAUAGCUUUAUUGUCUAAAUUUCCGGGGGCAGUUUUGUCCCAUAGGGCUCGCUCUAAGUUUUUAGCGGCCUAUGGUUGGCAAAGCAUGCUCUGCGGUUAGACGAUGAGCUAUCCUGGUUCGAGGAGGUUCCAGCGCCGGUGGCAGACGUGGGCGUCGUAAAUUCAUGAGUGAUUUUAAUCACUUUGUCAAAAAAAAAAAAAAAUAAUAAU